rnacentral:rRNA from 1 species
UACGUAGGGGGCAAGCGUUGUCCGGAAUUAUUGGGCGUAAAGAGCUCGUAGGCGGUCUGUCGCGUCGAUCGUGAAAACUUGGGGCUUAACCCCGAGCUUGCGGUCGAUACGGGCAUGACUGGAGUUCGGCAGGGGAGACUGGAAUUCCUGGUGUAGCGGUGAAAUGCGCAGAUAUCAGGAGGAACACCGGUGGCGAAGGCGGGUCUCUGGGCCGAUACUGACGCUGAGGAGCGAAAGCGUGGGGAGCGAACGGG